AAACGAUAGACCUCAGAGCAGGUGAGACUACCCCCUGAAUUUAAGCAUA
rnacentral:rRNA from 1 species